rnacentral:rRNA from 1 species
AGAUUGAACGCUGGCGGCAUGCUUUACACAUGCAAGUCGAACGGUAACAGGCCGCAAGGUGCUGACGAGUGGCGAACGGGUGAGUAAUGCAUCGGAACGUGCCCAGUCGUGGGGGAUAACGCAGCGAAAGCUGUGCUAAUACCGCAUACGAUCUAUGGAUGAAAGCGGGGGACCGAAAGGCCUCGCGCGAUUGGAGCGGCCGAUGUCAGAUUAGCUAGUUGGUGGGGUAAAGGCCCACCAAGGCGACGAUCUGUAGCUGGUCUGGAGAGGACGACCAGCCACACUGGAACUGAGACACGGUCCAGACUCCUACGGGAGGCAGCAGUGGGAAUUUUGGACAAUGGGCGCAAGCCUGAUCCAGCAAUGCCGCGUGCAGGAAGAAGGCCUUGGUUGUAAACUGUCGUUUGUAACGGAACGAAACGGUCUAGUACUUAAUAC